rnacentral:rRNA from 1 species
AGAGUUUGAUCCUGGCUCAGGACGAACGCUGGCGGCGUGCUUAACACAUGCAAGUCGAACGGAAAGGCCCUUCGGGGUACUCGAGUGGCGAACGGGUGAGUAACACGUGGGUGAUCUGCCCUGCACUUUGGGAUAAGCCUGGGAAACUGGGUCUAAUACCGAAUAUGACCAUGCACUUCCUGGUGUGUGGUGGAAAGCUUUUGCGGUGUGGGAUGGGCCCGCGGCCUAUCAGCUUGUUGGUGGGGUAAUGGCCUACCAAGACGACGACGGGUAGCCGGCCUGAGAGGGUGACCGGCCACACUGGGACUGAGGUACGGCCCAGACUCCUACGGGAGGCAGCAGUGGGGAAUAUUGCACAAUGGGCGCAAGCCUGAUGCAGCGACGCCGCGUGAGGGAUGACGGCCUUCGGGUUGUAAACCUCUUUCAGCACAGACGAAGCGCAAGUGACGGUAUGUGCAGAAGAGGGACCGGCCAACUACGUGCCAGCAGCCGCGGUAAUACGUAGGGUCCGAGCGUUGUCCGGAAUUACUGGGCGUAAAGAGCUCGUAGGUGGUUUGUCGCGUUGUUCGUGAAAACUCACAGCUUAACUGUGGGCGUGCGGGCGAUACGGGCAGACUUGAGUACUGCAGGGGAGACUGGAAUUCCUGGUGUAGCGGUGGAAUGCGCAGAUAUCAGGAGGAACACCGGUGGCGAAGGCGGGUCUCUGGGCAGUAACUGACGCUGAGGAGCGAAAGCGUGGGGAGCGAACAGGAUUAGAUACCCUGGUAGUCC